rnacentral:rRNA from 1 species
GAGUUUGAUCCUGGCUCAGAUUGAACGCUGGCGGCAUGCCUUACACAUGCAAGUCGAACGGCAGCACGGGAGCAAUCCUGGUGGCGAGUGGCGAACGGGUGAGUAAUAUAUCGGAACGUGCCCAGUCGUGGGGGAUAACGCAGCGAAAGCUGUGCUAAUACCGCAUACGAUCUCUGGAUGAAAGCGGGGGACUCGCAAGAGCCUCGCGCGAUUGGAGCGGCCGAUAUCAGAUUAGCCAGUUGGUGGGGUAAAAGCCCACCAAGGCGACGAUCUGUAGCUGGUCUGAGAGGACGACCAGCCACACUGGAACUGAGACACGGUCCAGACUCCUACGGGAGGCAGCAGUGGGGAAUUUUGGACAAUGGGCGCAAGCCUGAUCCAGCGACGCCGCGUGAGUGAUGAAGGCCUUUGGGUCGUAAAGCUCUGUCAGCAGGGAAGAACGGCCGUGUGGUUAAUACCCAUGCGGAUUGACGGUACCUGCAGAGGAAGCACCGGCUAACUCCGUGCCAGCAGCCGCGGUAAUAC